UACGUAGGGUGCGAGCGUUGUCCGGAAUUAUUGGGCGUAAAGAGCUCGUAGGCGGUGUGUCACGUCGGCCGUGAAAGCCUGCAGCUUAACUGUGGGCGUGCGGUCGAUACGGGCAUCACUGGAGUUCGGCAGGGGAGACUGGAAUUCCCAGUGUAGCGGUGAAAUGCGUAGAUAUUGGGAGGAACACCAGUGGCGAAGGCGGCUCACUGGACCGGUACUGACGCUGAGGCGCGAAAGCGUGGGGAGCAAACAGG
rnacentral:rRNA from 1 species